CCUACGGGAGGCUGCAGUGGGGAAUAUUGGGCAAUGGGCGCAAGCCUGACCCAGCAACGCCGCGUGAAGGAAGAAGGCUUUCGGGUUGUAAACUUCUUUUAUCAGGGACGAAGCAAGUGACGUUCCCCUUGGAUUAAGCCACGCCUAAAUCCGUGCCAGCAGCCGGGGUAAUACGGAGGUGCCAAGCGUUUUCCGGAUUUACUGGGUGUAAAGGGCGUGUAGGCGGGACGACAAGUAAGAUGUGAAAACCACGGGCUCAACCUGUGACCUGCAUUUGAACCUGUAGUUCUUGAGUGCUGGAGAGGCAGACGGAAUUCCUAGGGUAGCGGUGAAAUGCGUAGAUAUUAGGAGGAACACCAGUGGCGAAGGCGGUCUGCUGGACGGCAACUGACGCUGAGGCGCAAAAGCGUGGGGAGCAAACAGGAUUAGAUACCCUGGUAGUC
rnacentral:rRNA from 1 species